rnacentral:rRNA from 1 species
AGAGACAGCAGUAGCCGCGGUAAUACGUAGGUGGCAAGCGUUGUCCGGAAUUAUUGGGCGUAAAGGGCUCGCAGGCGGUUUCUUAAGUCUGAUGUGAAAGCCCCCGGCUCAACCGGGGAGGGUCAUUGGAAACUGGAAAACUUGAGUGCAGAAGAGGAGAGUGGAAUUCCACGUGUAGCGGUGAAUGCGUAGAGAUGUGGAGGAACACCAGUGGCGAAGGCGACUCUCUGGUCUGUAACUGACGCUGCGGAGCGAAAGCGUGGGGAGCGAACAGGAUUAGAGACCCGCGUAGUCCCUGUCUCUUAUACC